CACCCAUCCCAACCUCCAACAAAGACACGUGUCUCAGGAGAAAAGCUCAGCAUACUCUCCCCGCCACCCACGACGACAUUCUCCAGACUCGAUGAACGAGCAUCCUUCCGAGAGCAGACAUUCAUCGAUUUUCAUCACUACUCUCUCGUGAUUGCUCUCGCAUUGGACAUCGCGUCACACAGCAGCUUUACGCCGUCGUCACUGCGAAACCUCCAGCUAGUAACUGAGAGCUUUACUAGCGGCCAGUAGUGUUCGAGCCGUCGUCCGAGUGUGUAACGCCUGCGAUCGAUCCCGAGGAUAAAGGAUUACUCUCUAGGAGGACCCUGCUAUUUGGGCCCCCUUCACCCACCCUCGCCCAGUUCACUGGGACACAGUGCCAGUAGUGAUUACAACCGCCCACCGAUCGGAUCUCGUGUGGGGGGAAAGAGGACUAACAUUACAAGUUGUGUGUGCGAGCGAAGACCACACGUGACCACAGGACAACGCGUCGUCGGACCGGUUCCGCUUUUGUGAUAGUUGUAAUCGAAUACAAUGAACCAACACGGUGGCAUCGGUGGCGGAGGCGGUAAAAAAACGUCGAUUCCUGCCCGAAAUGGGUGGUGAACGGGUGUUUGUGCGCCGUGCGGUGGUGACUGAGAACAAAGGCCACCGCCGCCAGUAGCAGUGAGGGAGGGGCCGGGCUACAUCGAAAAGGACAUUCCCGUGUGCGGUGCGGUGCGACUGGUUUACACGGGGCAGUGAAGUGCAUUUAAUGAUGGGCAGACUGGCCUGCGGUUAGUUGCUGCAAGAUAACGCCAAGCAAGUGAUUGAUGUGGGUGAUGGUGUGACCCGCAAAGUGGGAGCUUCGUGCUCUGCCGGAGUGUGCAGGUUCAAAGGAAUUAUUAUAGAUUUUUUUCUGGGAGGUGAAAGUGGCUGAGAAAAAGGGGCUGGAAAAAGUUUUACUCAGCUCUGUGGUUAUCUUAAUGGGGGAUUGUGGAAAGUUGUGGUUAAGCCGUGAGAAGUUGUAGUGAGUGUCUGAAUACAAACCGAAAUACCAUUAAAGAAAGUUAAAACUAUAAUUGCGGCACAAGAUUUUACAGCAGUGAUAAUUCAUCAACGAAACACACAGUCAAGCAAUCGGAAAUCUCAGUCCGUCAGUACCCAGUGCUAAAAAUUCAAUCCUACCAAAAGUGAAAGAGUUAGAAGCCUCGAAAAAAGGAUAAGCUUCAGGAAACCCAAAUCAGCGGGCGCUAUCUUCCUGCCAACCAUAAAGAGGACGGCAUAAUCAGCGGUCAUUUGGUUACCAGCCAACUUGUAGUGCUAGGCAGUGAGCGGUUGCCGGUUCGCGUCGGAGAAGUUGGAGCUACAGUUCCAAAAAUAAAACCGUCAACUACCUAAGCCUCGAGUGGACGGAUAGCGCGCAUCAAAUGCGUUUGGAAACAGCCGUCGGUAUACUAUACAACACGAGUUAAACAACUGGCUACCGCCGGACGAAAAGUAACAGAAAGCAACUCUGCAACAUCAACGGUCGUCGCUCGGUUUGUCGGUUGGUCGGUCGGAUGGUACCCAUCAAACUACAUACUAGGUACUACUAGGGUAGAGAGUUUAGUUACAUCGCGGUCCCGGCAAAUAAGCGAAACCGUCAAUCUUGCCUGAGCUCAGUGCGGUGCAUCGUGUUUUACAAUCCCGUGGAACGAGUGUUGCGGAUUACCGGGCGAAACGGGGGUGUAGUGAUUGCUGGCGGAAAUGCAUUUUUACGUCGCCUCCGGUGGUGGUGGUAGAAUGUGAUUUCCAUGUCUGAUGAGUUUCACGCUUUCGCGGUUAGUUUCGUUCAUCAAAGGGAGCCGUGCUACAUCUGCUCGGUCCGAGUCGGUUACACAGUUAUAAUCUCU